GAGGAGACACGGUUGGGCCCUGAAGUCGCCUGCGUGGUGACCCAGGAAAUCCCCGAGCCGAGCCGUAAGGUCCUUAAGUGAGUAACUUUGCCCUGGAGGAAAGUGGAUUCUACGAAGGGAGUUAAGAACAGACACUGAGUCCCAGCAACUCUGGAGGCUGAGGCGGGAGCAUCGCUUGAGCCCAGGAGUUCGAGGCAGCCGUGAGCCGUAAUCGUGUCGCGCCACUGUACUCAAGCCUCCAGACCGGGCGACAGAGCAAGACCCCGAGACCCCUCCCAUUAAAAAAAAAUGAACACUGUACGAAACGCUGCGGUUUCAGAGCUGGAAGAGACCUCAGACAUUCAAUCCCUUUUCCCAAAAUUCACUGGAAGAGCUCGAGGAAAACUUUCCCUUGCAGCUGUCUCAGUCUUUACAGUGCUUAGUUACGAAGACAGUCUUAACAGUCCCAUCUUUCGCCCUGUAAUUCAAGACGGUAUUCCUAAAUCAGGAAUUUUAAUAGAUCAGAAUACGGCAGUCUGUUUUCCUGGGCAUCAAUUAUAAUAUAACCUUGUACUGUCACACUGGUCUUUGACUUCGACGAUGAAAAAGAAAGAAAGGCUCAGAAAGAUGGGUCCCGGAAGCAGCCGAGGAAAACAGUAUCUCUGUAGAAGCUAUUAAUGUUUCACCUACCA
rnacentral:lncRNA from 10 species